CAGACAGACGCCAGAGCUUCACAUCCCUAGCCUUACGUAAGCGCUACAGCUACUUGACUGAGCCCAGCAUGAGUCCACAGAGUCCUUGUGAGCGGACGGAUAUCAGGAUGGCAAUAGUAGCCGAUCACCUGGGACUUAGUUGGACAGAGCUGGCAAGGGAACUGAAUUUUUCAGUGGAUGAAAUCAACCAAAUACGAGUGGAAAAUCCCAAUUCUUUAAUUUCUCAGAGCUUCAUGUUAUUAAAAAACUGAUGCCUUAACUUCGGUCUUAACAAAAAUUAACCGAAUAGACAUAGUAACUCUGCUGGAAGGACCAAUAUUUGAUUAUGGGAAUAUUUCAGGCACCAGAAGCUUUGCAGAUGAAAACAAUGUUUUCCAUGACCCAGUUGAUG
rnacentral:lncRNA from 1 species